rnacentral:lncRNA from 1 species
CCAGCAUGAUCACAAAACUAAACUUUCAAAUCAUAUCAUAAAGAACAGGAAGUGUCAUUCAUUCUUCUAUGUUAUUCAUCUGGUUUGUCUAACUUCCUUCAUCCUUCUUCUAUGCCAUUCUUCCAAUCCUAAAAACAUCAAGUAAAAAUAUGAGCACAAAAAGAUCAAAACAAGUGCACCAUAAACAUGAGCACAAAAAAGAUCAAAAUAAGUACAUUUUGAAAGGGACUUUUUACCAAAAUUAUGGAGAUGAUCUUUGGGGACAGUUGCGGCUGUCAUGAUGCACAUACUCACCGCAUGCCAAACCCACCAUUGAACAGCAAUAAAACCAACAAGAAAAUAGAAAGAAAAAAAAAACAGCUAAUACACACCCAUAUAUAAACCCAAUAUCAUCCCAUGAAAAGAAAAAAAAGUUACAUAACUCAAUAGUUGAAUAUGAGGAGAUAUAACAAGGCAAAUGAAACUUCAUAGAAAAAAGAUAUAUUUUAGGGAUCGAUAGUUGAAUAUGAUUAAUAGUUAGAUGGCAAAUGAAUUUAAGCCAUACUAAUUAUAAUAUACCUGAGGAAUUUGAAAAGAAGUUGAUGUAUCUUUGUCCAUGAAGAAUGAUGAACGUAAUUCAAUAGAAGUGCAAGUUGUCCGAAUCAAAUUGAUGUAUCUUUAUCCAUGGAGUGCAACGUUUGGUUGUAUUUGGUCGGAAGAAGUAGUGAUG